rnacentral:rRNA from 1 species
UACGUAGGGUGCAAGCGUUAUCCGGAAUUAUUGGGCGUAAAGCGCACGUAGGCGGCUUUGUAAGUUAGAGGUGAAAGCCUGGAGCUCAACUCCAGAACUGCCUUUGAUACUGCAUGGCUUGAAUCCAGGAGAGGUGAGUGGAAUUCCGAGUGUAGAGGUGAAAAUUCGUAGAUAUUCGGAAGAACACCAGUGGCGAAGGCGGCUCACUGGACUGGUAUUGACGCUGAGGUGCGAAAGCGUGGGGAGCAAACAGG